rnacentral:rRNA from 1 species
AUUGAACGCUGGCGGCAGGCUUAACACAUGCAAGUCGAGCGGGGUGAUGGUGCUUGCACUAUCACUUAGCGGCGGACGGGUGAGUAAUGCUUAGGAAUCUGCCUAUUAGUGGGGGACGACAUCUCGAAAGGGAUGCUAAUACCGCAUACGUCCUACGGGAGAAAGCAGGGGAUCACUUGUGACCUUGCGCUAAUAGAUGAGCCUAAGUCGGAUUAGCUAGUUGGUGGGGUAAAGGCCUAACAAGGCGACGGUCUGUAGCGGGGCUGAGAGGAUGAUCCGCCACACUGGGACUGAGACACGGCCCAGACUCGUACGGGAGGCAGCAGUGGGGAAUAUUGGACAAUGGGGGGAACCCUGAUCCAGCCAUGCCGCGUGUGUGAAGAAGGCCUUAUGGUUGUAAAGCACUUUAAGCGAGGAGGAGGCUCUUUUGGUUAAUACCCAAGAUGAGUGGGCGUUACUCGCAGAAUAAGCACCGGCUAACUCUGUGCCAGCCGCCGCCGUAA